CAAUCUUGGAAUCACAUAAUCUCACAGCUGUUCGACCAGCUGUUCAACAAUUUUUUAUAUAAGCAACCAAAGCUUCGAAGAUCAGGUAAGUCAAUCAAUCUCUUUUAGAGAACUUGUUAGUAUUCCUAUUAUUCUCUGAAUCUGACUGGAGCAUCGGUGGAUCCUCGUCGGAGCGAAAACUUCUGAUUUGGAUUCGUUUUGU
rnacentral:lncRNA from 1 species